rnacentral:lncRNA from 1 species
UCCUCCUCCUCCCCUCUCUCCCUCUCUCUCUCUCUCUCUCUCUCUCUCUCUCUUCACCCCUCUCAUUCAUUCUCUCUCUCCAUCCAUCUCACCCCACUCCCUUUCUUCUUCUCUCAGAAAUUAGAGGUGAUGGUUUAAGAGGCAUCUGAGAGAGGAGUGAGUGGACAUCAGUUCCAUACCGCCCCCUCCUGGCGAACCACUCAAACAACAGACAGAGACAGACGCCAUCCUCAGUCACAUGACUUGUCCUGCCAGUGUCAAGAACAGAAGACAAGGUACAAGUCCACUCCCAGCCCCUCCCAGUGCCUCCUGGGGCCUCAGACCAGUCCAGCCAGCUGAUAGAGGUCCUCACACAGCAACAACAGAAGUGUCUGUGCCAGCAGUUCACCCACAUGGGGGAGGUCACUGAGACAACUAGGAGGAAGCGCAGAGGGACCAAACCCGCUCUGUGAGAAGCACUACCUGUCCAGAGGCUGCCUCCUACCAGUGUCUGCAGGGCAGAGCGUCUCAACUGCUAUCUACUCAGCCCUCUUCGGCCACCGGGCAUGACCCGGCACGGGCAUCACAUCCACUGCUGGUUCCUCCUGCCUCUGCCUCUCUGCCUAGACCAGCACCCAGAGACCACCACCACCUCACAGCCCGGUCCAACGCAGCCAGGCCGCUGGGGAAAUAAGAAUAGAGGACAACAUCGUCAAAACAACAAUAAUAAAAACAGGCCACUAGAGAGACAGACAGAGAAGAAGUCAGUAAAGGACAGGAUAAUGUUCAUAUGUUACAACGCAAAAAAACACAGUGAAACAGGUCGAAUACCAUCUGAACUUAUACAAUAUCUAAUGCUUGUUUUGGUUUUUUCAUUGCAACAUAUUUUGUUAUGGUGUGUGCUCUAAUGAACACAACCCGGUUUCAGUAAAGAACAUGUUCAAAUGAAUAGAGGACA